CGCACAAGCGGUGGAGCAUGUGGUUUAAUUCGAUGCAACGCGAAAAACCUUACCUGGGUUUGACAUCCUCUGACCGUCCCUGAAAGGGGAUUUUUUCUGUUUACAGAAACAGAGUGACAGGUGCUGCAUGGCUGUCGUCAGCUCGUGUCGUGAGAUGUUGGGUUAAGUCCCGCAACGAGCGCAACCCUUGUUUUUAGUUGCCAAUAUUAAGUUAGGAACUCUAAAAAUACUGCCCCGGUUAACGGGGAGGAAGGUGGGGAUGACGUCAAGUCCUCAUGGCCUUUAUACCCAGGGCUACACACGUGCUACAAUGGACUGUACAAAGGGUCGCAACCUCGUGAGUGGAAGCUAAUCUCAUAAAGCAGUCCCUAGUUCGGAUUGGAGUCUGCAACUCGACUCCAUGAAGCUGGAAUCGCUAGUAAUCGUGGAUCAGAAUGCCACGGUGAAUACGUUCCCGGGCCUUGUACACACCGCCCGUCACACCACGAAAGUUGGCUGUACCAGAAGUUGCUGGGCUAACCCG
rnacentral:rRNA from 1 species